GAGGGUAUAGCUCAGUGGUAGACUGCAUGCUUAUUAGCAUGCAUGAGAUCCUGGGUUCAACCCCGAGUACCUCCA
rnacentral:tRNA from 1 species